rnacentral:rRNA from 1 species
AUUGAACGCUGGCGGCAGGCCUAACACAUGCAAGUCGAGCGAGCGGCGGACGGGUGAGUAAUGUCUGGGAAACUGCCUGAUGGAGGGGGAUAACUACUGGAAACGGUAGCUAAUAACGCAUACUAUUAGAUGUGCUCAGAUGGGAUUAGCUAGUGGGUGGGGUAACGGCUCAACCAGGCGACGAUCCCUAGCUGGUCUGAGAGGCUGACCAGCCACACUGGAACUGAGACACGGUCCAGACUCCUACGGGAGGCAGCAGUAGGGAAUAUUGCCCAAUGGGCGCAAGCCUGAUGCAGCCAUGCCGCGUGUGUGAAGAAGGCCUUCGGGUUGUAAAGCACUUUCAGCGGGGAGGCGUUACCCGCAGAAGAAGCACCGGCUAACUCCGUGCCAGCAGCCGCGGUAAUUC